rfam:Myotis lucifugus cont2.17562, whole genome shotgun sequence.
AAGAGAGACUAUGGAAUGGAGAGUCAAUUAUAACAAAUAGUGGAUAUCGACACUGUCUGACACAAUUUGAGCUUGCUACAGCAACAAAGUCUAACCUAUUCCGGUGCUCUCUUCUAUGAGACAAGCCAUUAUAUAGACUUAGACAGU